UACGUAGGGUGCAAGCGUUAAUCGGAAUUACUGGGCGUAAAGCGCACGUAGGCGGCUUUGUAAGUUAGAGGUGAAAGCCCGGGGCUCAACUCCGGAAUUGCCUUUAAGACUGCAUCGCUAGAAUUGUGGAGAGGUAAGUGGAAUUCCGAGUGUAGAGGUGAAAUUCGUAGAUAUUCGGAAGAACACCAGUGGCGAAGGCGACUUACUGGACAGAUAUUGACGCUGAGGUGCGAAAGCGUGGGGAGCAAACAGG
rnacentral:rRNA from 1 species